AUCAAAACCUUGAACAAGAAUUUAUCGUUAUUCGUAAUCAUAACUUUCUUGUCUCAGUUACGACGUAACAAUCUCAUAGUUGUAUUUCAUUUAACAUACAUACAGCGGUACAAGCAUAUAAACGAACUGUCAAAAGAAAGCGUGCUUCAAUGGAUACAGAAGUUUACGAACUAGAAUUAAUACGCCAAGAUAUUGUAAAAAAUCACCUUCGACUUACAGCUUUAAUACAGGAUAUACAACAAUGUACCGGUCCUUUAGAAUUACUCAUGGAAUUGAAUGCGGAAGGCAGAGCAAAACUAGAAGCAUUGCAAUCAUCCAUAUGUAAGUUAGCAUCAAUAGCGGAAAGAGAACUUUUGGAGAAGAAAAAAGCAGAAUUAUUAGCAGAAUUAGAUACUUAUAAGCAACAAUCUAAAACAUCUUUAGCUGCGUUUCGUAAGGCCAAUGUUGUUAGUAUGUGCGUAAUAGAUAAACUUGCCAAGGAAGAACUACUAUCAAUGCCUGAAGAACAGCAAGCUCUUAUUCGUAGACGACACGAUAAACGGAGUCUGGCAAAUGCAUCGAGUCAGGUCUCGGAUAAACUCUUAAGUAUUUCUAGACACUUGGCGGAAACAACUCAAAGAAGCGCGGACACAUUGGAUACAUUAUUAACCUCGUCGGAUAAAGUUGUUAGUACCAAAGAUGAGUUGGAACAUCAACAGCAAGUUAUAGUUCAAUCUGGAAAGCUCUUAGGGAAAUACGGUCACCGAGAGCGCGUUAUCGAAUUACGAUUGACGUAAUUAAAUUCAGUUUACCGUGACCCGAAUGUAUCCGCGCUGGACUCUGACACUUGUUAAAUUUGAAAAUCAGUCCGCCGAGCUAAACCGGACCAGCGCAGCGUGCUUGCUGCUGAUACACGAGAAAAUCAUUCGAGGAUCGCAAACCCCUUUCGCGCAAAAUGCCGGUGCAGACUUUCUCUGCGAAAUGCUAUUAAUAGUUCAACAGCCUGGAAACCAACCAGCUAUUACGAACACUUCUCGAUCAUUGUUUAUCCACGCUGAAAGUAUCGCGGGUUCUCACACCUUGUCUGAAUUCAUCUUUACCUGUUUCAACUCCCGCGUGGCAAGAGGAAGAAAUAUCUCCCUAGCUCUCGUGACUUGUUUCUACCUGUAUAAUAUCUACGCGAUCUUCGUAAUUUUCUUCUCUUCCGACAGAGAGACAAGUUUAAUGAGAGCUGUUACGCGUAACAACAGUUUCUAUAAAAAAUUAAUGUUACGUAUCGCAAUAUUAUUACUAUACGCAACAACAAAAAGUGACAAUCGACACGUUUUUACAGAUACAGAUAAUGCAAACGGCAACCUUGACAUGAAAUCCGUACGAAGUAGGGCAGUUCUUAAUUAGUACAAGUUCGUUAUCACGCGAAGAGUUACAAAAAUUGAAUCGCGUUUCAAUGAAUGAACUCGUAUAAUUUCAUGUUUCGUUUAUGGAAUAAUUUAUAUUUCAAUACGCUAACUGCGACACGUCAUUUGUUUCUGAAUUUCCAAAAUACGCUCGACGAUCGAUUACAAUAAGAUUUGGGAAGAGACAGUGGCGAAGUGAGGAUAAACGAUAACAAGAUACCAAAGAAAUAAGUUAAGUACGCGAUUCGUUGUGUUUAUUUAAAGAUUCUCCUCUGAUCGUGAUUCGGGGAAAAACGGAAAUGCAGUUUCUACGCACCGACGAACCAGGUAAUAAAGUAGUCGUAAUUAAAUCAGUCUCCCUUAUGCGAUCGUGUGUUUUCUUGAGAUGGAAUCGAUGCACGUACGGAAUACGAAAAAGGUGUACGCUUUGCGAAUAAAAAUCACGCAUUGAUCCGCAUCGGAUAAUACAAGCAGAUAAAGCCCUCUCCGAGUGCAGCGCGAAAGAAACGCUCUCUUCUCAAUUAAACAGAACUGAACGGUAGAAAAUAAAUUGUAAGGUAAACUACAUUAUUAAUAAUUUGUGAAUUCGCAAAGGGUUACCCUACGCGAGAAAUAAGUUAUUAAUAAAUAAUAUCUUGAGCGUAUUUCUUCUGUUCGCAUUGUCAACAAAUACCGAACAAUGGAACUGACAAUGAGACAUUCGCAUCUUCGACCGACGCAUUUUUUCGAAGCGGUAGGGCAGCUUGGUCUUGGUGUAUAAAACAGCAGUAUCCAUGGAUUUUUGAAUCGUAAACUUACCGAGAAAAGGCAAGUGCCCUCAAGAUGAAAAUUAUGUUCGCAUUUUUAUUCUUGUUCACCACUGUACUCGCAGCACCGUGGCUCGAAAUUCUUUUCGGUGGACAGCCUCCUU